rnacentral:rRNA from 1 species
UCCAGAGUACGGCCAGACACGUGAAACCUGGUCGGAAUACGGGGGGACCACCCUCCAACCCUAAAUACUACCCAGUGACCGAUAGCGUAUAGUACUGUGAAGGAAAGGUGAAAAGCACCCCGGGAGGGGAGUGAAAAAGAACCUGAAACCCUGUGCCUACAAGCACCUAGAGCACGUCAAUGUGUGAUAGGGUACUUUUUGUAGAACGGUCCGGCGAGCGAUUGUAUGCAGCAAGGUUAAGGACUUAAGGUCUGGAGCCGAAGCGAAAGCGAGUUUGAAAAGGGCGUUAAGUUGCAUAUAAUGGGCCCGAAACCGGGUGACCUACCCAUGGUCAGGUUGAAGUGGAAGUAAAAUUCCAUGGAGGACCGAACCGACCUCCGUUGAAAAGGCGGCGGAUGAACUGUGGGUAGCGGAGAAAUUCCAAUCGAACCCGGAGAUAGCUGGUUCUCCCCGAAAUAGUUUUAGGACUAGCCUCAAGUUAGAUACCUGGAGGUAAAGCACUGAAUAGCCUAGCGGCCGAGAGGUUAGCGAAGCUUAUCAAACUCAGAAUGCCAGAGUAUUGAUGCUUGGGAGUCAGACAGUGUCAGAUAAAUGUCAUUGUCAAAAGGGAAACAGCCCAGAUCUACAGCUAAGGUCCCAAAGUCAGGUUAAGUGGAAAACGAUGUGAAGAUACGCAGACAACCAGGAUGUUGGCUCAGAAGCAGCCACUCAUUCAAAGAGUGCGUAAUAGCUCACUGGUCGAGCGUCUUUGCGCGGAGAAUUUAACGGGGCUAAACCUGACACCGAAGCUUAGGCAAUACAGCAAUGUAUUGGGUAGGGGAGCGUUGUAUACGCGGUGAAACAGUAGCGCAAGCGGCUGUGGAGUGUAUAGAAGUGAGAAUGCCGGAAUGAGUAGCGCGAAUGCAGUGAGAAUCUGCAUGGCCGAAAGCCUCAGGUUUCUGGAGGAAGGUUCGUCCGCUCCAGGUCAGUCGGGAGCUAAGGUGAGGCCUAACGGCGUAGCCGAUGCACAGACGGUAGAGAUUCCGUCACCACCAAAAGAGUUAAACACAGGGACACAUAUGAAGUCUCGGAGCCGGGUGUUGGUUCCGGUAGCGAUCGAGGGAAGUUAGUACCGAAGUCCGGGAUGGAAGAUGGCGAGAAAAGCUGUGUGUAUUUCUGCGGUGCCCGUACCGCAAACCGACACAGGUAGGUAGGAAGAAGAUUCUAAGGCCAACGGGAGAAGGGUUGUUAAGGAACUCGGCAAAUUGACCCCGUAACUUCGGGAGAAGGGGUGCUGCAGCAAUGCAGCCGCAGAGAAUCGGCCCAAGCAACUGUUUACCAAAAACACAGGUUUGUGCUAAAUCGAAAGAUGACGUAUACGAGCUGACGCCUGCCCGGUGCUGGAAGGUUAAGAGGAGAUGUGCAAGCAUUGAAUCGAAGCCCCAGUGAACGGCGGCCGUAACUAUAACGGUCCUAAGGUAGCGAAAUUCCUUGUCAGGUAAGUUCUGACCCGCAUGAAAGGCGUAAUGAUUUGGGCACUGUCUCAACAGCCCGCCCGGCGAAAUUGUAGUACCGGUGAAGAUGCCGGUUACCCGCGACAAGACGGAAAGACCCCAUGGAGCUUUACUGUAGCCUAAUAUUGGGUUUCGAUGUUGCAUGCACAGGAUAGAUGGGACACUGGGAAGCAGGUGCUUUGGCGCUUGUGGAGUGGCCGUUGGGAUACCAUCCUUGCGAUAUUGGAAUUCUAACCUGCGCCUUUGAAUCAAGGCGGGGGACAUUGUUAGGUGGGCAGUUUGACUGGGGCGGUCGCCUCCUAAAGAGUAACGGAGGCGUUCAAAGGUUCGCUCAGCUUGAACGGAAAUCAAGCAAAAGAGUGCAAACGCAGAAGCGAGCCUAACUGCGAGACUGACGGGUCGAGCAGUAACGAAAGUUGGAGUUAGUGAUCCGGUGGUAUGUGAGUGGAAAUGCCAUCGCUCAACGGAUAAAAGUUACCCUGGGGAUAACAGGCUGAUCUCCCCCAAGAGUCCACAUCGACGGGGAGGUUUGGCACCUCGAUGUCGGCUCAUCGCAUCCUGGGGCUGUAUUCGGUCCCAAGGGUUUGGCUGUUCGCCAAUUAAAGCGGUACGCGAGCUGGGUUCAGAACGUCGUGAGACAGUUCGGUCCCUAUCUGUCGUGGGCGCAGGAUAUUUGAUGGGAGCUGUUCCUAGUACGAGAGGACCGGAGCGGACGUACCUCUGGCGCACCAGUUGUUCUGCCAAGAGCAUAGCUGGGCAACUAUGUACGGAUCGGAUAAACGCUGAAAGCAUCUAAGCGUGAAGCCGACCCAAAGAUAAGAUAUCCCAUUGUUUCAAACAAGUAAGACCCCUUGAAGACUACAAGGUUGAUAGGCACGAUGUGUAAGUGGAGCGAUCCAUUCAGCAAGCGUGUACUAAUAGGUCGAGGGCUUGACCACA